AUGCUCUGCUCUCUCCUUGCCCUUCUCCUGGGCACUGUCUUAGGUGCCCAAGCCCAGACCAUUCAUCAAUGGCCAGCUGCCAGGGUGCAGCCUGUGGGCAGCCCUCUCUCUCUGGAGUGCACUGUGAAGGGGGCAUCGAGCCCCGCCCUCUACUGGUACCGACAGGCCACAGGGGGACCCCUCCAGCUGCUCUUCUACUCCGUUGGUGUUGGCCAGAUAGAGUCUCAGGAGCCCCAGAACCUCUCAGCCUCCAGGCCCCAGGACGGCGAGUUCAUCCUGAGUUCUAAGAAGCUCCUGCUCAGCAACUCCGGCUUCUAUCUCUGUGCCUGGCGUAUCACACUGAGCCAGGCAGGGCAGACGUCUGUGCAAAAACCCCACCCUCUCCUGAGUCCUAACCACCCUCCCCUGGAGCCCUCACUCAGGCGCUGGGUGGAGGAUAUUUGUGACUGGGUUUCCGACUGCUAG